GACCGGGCAGGUGGGGACCGGGCUCAGUGUCAUGCCACACAUGGGGCCUGGACUAGGUGUGGGUCCAGGAGAGGAGAGCAUUGCGGCCCAAGAAUCAGGGAGGAAUAAAAUGAGAGUAAAGUUCCUGCUGUGUAAGGAGGAGCUUGGAAGUAUUUACACGGCAUUGGAUACAGGAAGACGGGAAUCCACAGGGAAUGCAGAAGUCGCACUCGUGACAGGAAGAAGGAGACUCGGAGCGGAGUGCUCUGUCCAGGGCAGCAGAGAGUUAUUCCUUGGGGACUGAUGAGCUCAUCGCUCUGCAGCAUGCUGCUGUGCAGAGGGCCCCGCAGCUAGAGUUGUAUGGUACGUGACACUGGCAGUUACUCAUUCUUCCACCCCAGAUCCUGUGCCCUCGUUCUGUUCUCUUUAAAGCAACACUGUAGCUCCUGUCAGUAGCCCGGAAGUCAUGGGUAUAGCUUGAGCACUAAACUGGGAAGGAGCUGAAGCCUCCUGGGUUCUAUUUUCAGCGCCCUUGCUGUGUGCAGCCUUGGGUGGAUCUCUCUUUCCUGGCCUCAGUUUUUCUAGUGUAGGAAUGGCCCGGCUUCCUCACUUUGCUCCAGGAUAUAAUUUAUUUGGGAGAGAGGUCUUUAGUAAACACAGAAUACACGGAAAUUGUUCAAAUUCUCCUCAUGUCUAGGGGACCUUGUAAGUGAGAUGAGAUUUGAAUGGAGGUCGGAAGGAACCUAUUUGUGGGAAAGUCUGGAUGGAGAGCAAAUAGGAUUCUAGUAAGCAUCCAGGGGGACCAUGCGACUCUUGAUCUCGGGGUCCUGAGUUUGAGCCCCAUGUUGGGUGUAGAGAUUAUACUAAAAAAAAAAUUAAUAAAUUUUAAAGAAUUCUAGUAACUUCUAGAUGACUUAUUUUCAGAUUUUGUGUGUGUGUUCUAAGACUGUGUUCAUCUCAAUCCUUCCCUAACUUCCUUACUUAAAUUUCUACCUGAAUUUAUCGCUUGCUACCCUUUCCCAUGCAUCUUGCCCAGGGCCAUCGUCCCCUUGUGAGUCUUGCUUUCUUUCUCCAGGGACUCACAGGCUCAGGAGUAUGAGGGUACUGCGUUCCAUGCCUUCAGGUUGUAGAUGGAGAAACCACAGGCCC